rnacentral:lncRNA from 1 species
UUCCCUAGCGAUAAUUGCAGCAGGGAAACUGAUGUUGAAGUUUGAAGUGCAUACAUCAAUUAGAGGAGAAGAAAUGCACAUCUUGUUUUGUCACUUAACUAGUCUACCUGCUGUGCUUCUGGCUGGAGAUGAGAAAAGUGUAUCAGUUGCAACAGGAAGCUCCCCAUCCUAGAAGGAUAACCUGCACUUGUGAGGUAGAGAACCGUCCCAAAUAUUAUGGAAGAG